rnacentral:lncRNA from 1 species
UAUCGACUCAGUUGGACUUUGCCCAAGGCCACAGUUCCAAGUGGGGGUUCUGCCAAAGGCCAACAUCCGAGUUGAGAAAAAAAAUCUACCGGCACCACUUCCCUGGCUCCUCAGUCUGGAUUGUUAAUUAAUUACAGAUGAAGUUUUCUGCCCACUUUUGUCCAUGACAGGCCAAAAGAAAGACCAACCAAAUCCUUCCGAGAUUUCACGGCGACCACUACUGCAGGGAGAUCGCUUGGUGGGUUCGGUGAUAAUGCAUCUGCAGAACUGACCCUUCAGAGCAGUGUGGGAAACUGUCAUACAAGUGUAAAGAGGACCACCCACCUACCACUGGGCCCUUUGAGUAUGGUCAACCCCAUGAGGUGUAAAUGUAAGACCACAGGAGAAAAUAGGCUUCUAUGUCAGAUUACAUAUUCCUUCUCAGCUCCAGCAGGAAAAAAAUCUCAGCAAUUUUGCCCCAACACCAGAGAACUGGCAGGGAGAGAGACUUCCACAGCACCAGUAGAAGGAGCCAAGGAAUUAGGAUAAGAGCAUGGAAGUGGUGAGGCAAUGAAGAUGGAUGGGAAAACACAACAUGGCUUUCAGGCUUCUUAGUAGAGCAGUGAGAACAAACAACGGAGGAGACAGGAGCUGUAAGGCCUGGAAGCACAACUGAGGCACAUAAUAUGACUACAGGCUGUAAGUUGUAGAUCAAAGAAAGUAUAGUAGAUGGUUCGUGUCAAACCUUACUACUUUUGUUCAAAAUAAAAAUCAGUGUACCUUUAUUUUUCUCUAAAUG